rnacentral:rRNA from 1 species
AUUGAACGCUGGCGGCAUGCCUUACACAUGCAAGUCGAACGGUAACAGGUCUUCGGAUGCUGACGAGUGGCGAACGGGUGAGUAAUACAUCGGAACGUGCCCGAUCGUGGGGGAUAACGAAGCGAAAGCUUUGCUAAUACCGCAUAAGAUCCAAGGAUGAAAGCAGGGGACCGCAAGGCCUUGCGCGAACGGAGCGGCCGAUGGCAGAUUAGGUAGUUGGUGGGAUAAAAGCUUACCAAGCCGACGAUCUGUAGCUGGUCUGAGAGGACGACCAGCCACACUGGGACUGAGACACGGCCCAGACUCCUACGGGAGGCAGCAGUGGGGAAUUUUGGACAAUGGGCGAAAGCCUGAUCCAGCCAUGCCGCGUGCAGGAUGAAGGCCUUCGGGUUGUAAACUGCUUUUGUACGGAACGAGAAGACUCUGGUUAAUACCUGGGGUCCAUGACGGUACCGUAAGAAUAAGCACCGGCUAACUACGUGCCAGCCGCCGCCGUAAAAC